rnacentral:rRNA from 1 species
GUACGCCUACGGGGGGCAGCAGUGGGGGAUAUUGCACAAUGGGGGAAACCCUGAUGCAGCAACGCCGCGUGAGUGAAGAAGGUCUUCGGAUUGUAAAGCUCUGUUCUUGGUGAAGAUAAUGACGGUAGCCAAGGAGAAAGCUCCGGCUAACUACGUGCCAGCAGCCGCGGUAAUACGUAGGAUGCGAGCGUUAUCCGGAUUUAUUGGGUUUAAAGGGUGCGUAGGCGGACAGUCAAGUCAGCGGUAAAAAUGCGGUGCUCAACGCCGUACAGCCGUUGAAACUGGCAGUCUUGAGUGGGCGAGAA